AUUCACAAAUGUGCAACAUAUUAAAAUAUUAUGGUUGAGACUAAGAGUUUUGAAAAUCCAAAUAUGAAACCAGGAACUAAAAUUCUAAAGGGCAUAGAUGAAACAUGUAUGAGCGUCUAAUGUCAGUCUGAACCUAGAGAUUGUUUACUUCAGAUUCAAUACAAAUAAUCAAUUUGAAAGAUCUGAAAUUAUUAGACACAAACUAUUCAAUCUUGUCAGUAUAAAACUGGAAAUUAUUGGACAGGUUGAAUUGUAUUAUGGGAACUGAUAAUCAACCAAUAGAAGGACUAAACUAUUGUCAGUAAAACAAUUUUUACACUGCAUAAUGUAAUUUUUGUUUUUACACAUGAUUCUUCAUUCAUCAUGUAUUCUUGUAAUAAUCCACUUAUAUAAUAAAUCAUCACCACA
rnacentral:lncRNA from 1 species